UGUGUUCUAGAAGAGCCUGGACUAGACAACGCCCCGGCGCCCCAAGGCGGGUAUCGGGCAGCGGCAGGUGCCCCGCAGGCCAUGGGGGAGUAGAUCCGGGUCCCCGCAGCGCUGGGGCAGGAUCCCCGCAGGCCAUGGGGGAGUAGAUCCGGGUCCCCGCAGCGCUGGGGCAGGUCCCCCGCAGGCCAUGGGGGAGUAGAUCCGGGUCCCCGCAGCGCUGGGGCAGGUCCCCCGCAGGCCAUGGGGGAGUAGAUCCGGGUCCCCGCAGCGCCGGGGCAGGAUCCCCGCAGGCCAUGGGGGAGUAGACCUGGGUCCCCGCAGCGCCGGGGCAGGAUCCCCGCAGGCCAUGGAGGAGUAGAUCCGGGUCCCCGCAGCGCCGGGGCAGGAUCCCCGCAGGCCAUGGGGGAGUAGAUCCGGGUCCCCGCAGCGCCGGGGCAGGAUCCCCGCAGGCCAUGGGGGAGUAGAUCCGGGUCCCCGCAGCACCGGGGCAGGAUCCCCGCAGGCCAUGGGGGAGUAGAUCCGGGUCCCCGCAGCGCCGGGGCAGGAUCCCCGCAGGCCAUGGAGGAGUAGAUCCGGGUCCCCGCAGCGCCGGGGCAGGAUCCCCGCAGGCCAUGGGGGAGUAGAUCUGGGUCCCCACAGCGCCGGGGCAGGAUCCCCGCAGGUCAUGGGGGAGUAGAUCCGGGUCCCCGCAGCACCGGGGCAGGAUCCCCGCAGGCCAUGGGGGAGUAGAUCCGGGUCCCCGCAGCACCGGGGCAGGAUCCCCGCAGGCCAUGGGGGAGUAGAUCUGGGUCCCCACGGCGCUUGGGGCGGGUAUGGGGUGAGGCAGGAUCCCCACAGCUCAUGGGGGAGUACAUCAGGAUCCACGCAGCUCUGGGGUGGGUAUCGGGUAGGGGCAGGAUCCCCACAGCCCUUGGGGGAGUAGAUCAGGGUCCUUACAGUCCUGGGGUGGGUAUCAGGUAGGAGCAGGAUCCCCACAGCCCUGAGAAGGAUUAGAUAGGAGCAGAGUCCUCUCAGCCCAUUGGGGAGUAGAUCACUGAGGGGUGGGUACAAGCAAGAGUGAAGGCCUGGAAUCUAGGAAGCCCUAAAUACUAGUCUUUAAUAAAACAAAAAUCGUGCUA